AUUGAACGCUGGCGGCAUGCCUUACACACGCAAGUCGAACGGCAGCACGGGAGCAAUCCUGGUGGCGAGUGGCGAACGGGUGAGUAAUACAUCGGAACGUGCCCAGUUGUGGGGGAUAGCCCGGCGAAAGCCGGAUUAAUACCGCAUACGACCUACGGGUGAAAGCGGGGGAUCGCAAGACCUCGCGCUAUUGGAGCGGCCGAUGUCGGAUUAGCUAGUUGGUGGGGUAAAAGCCUACCAAGGCUACGAUCCGUAGCUGGUCUGAGAGGACGACCAGCCACACUGGGACUGAGACACGGCCCAGACUCCUACGGGAGGCAGCAGUGGGGAAUUUUUGGGACAAUGGGCGCAAGCCUGAUCCAGCCAUGCCGCGUGCGGGAAGAAGGCCUCGGUUGUAACGCUUUGUCAGGAGAACGGUUAGGGCGUAAUACCCCGAACUAACUAGACGGUACC
rnacentral:rRNA from 1 species